rnacentral:rRNA from 1 species
UACGGAGGGUGCAAGCGUUGCUCGGAAUUAUUGGGCGUAAAGCGCACGCAGGCGGCAUGGUAAGUCAGUUGUGAAACUCCCGAGCUUAACUUGGGAACUGCAGCUGAUACUGCCCUGCUUGAGUACGGAAGAGGGGAGCGGAAUUCCCAGUGUAGAGGUGAAAUUCGUAGAUAUUGGGAGGAACACCGGUGGCGAAAGCGGCUCCCUGGUCCGAUACUGACGCUCAUGUGCGAAAGCGUGGGGAGCAAACAGGAUUAGAAACCCGUAGUAGU